ACACUGCUGAGGAGUCCUACAAUAGGACGAAACGGCCGUUGAGUGC
rnacentral:hammerhead_ribozyme from 1 species